rnacentral:lncRNA from 1 species
CCCCAGGCCCGCACCUGUCCUUUUAAAGUUUCGUUGUGUUUGCGGUGUCAGGAUGAGGUUGGGCAUUUAAAGCCAUGGGACAGAAUGAGGUUUUCUGGAGAAGCUAUAGCUGGAGACGGGGCCAGAGCCCAGCUUAGGAACAGGACAUAUUUAUGGAGGGGUGGCGGGAGAGGGCUUAGGAGGAGAGAGUGAAAGAGGGAAUGUGGGGUCAUGGCAGCCUGGAGAGGAGAUGAGGGCUGCUCAGCGGGGUUGGAUCCAGCCCUGAUCAGAAGGAGAAAAGAGGGCUGGCCUCAACCACAUGGGGUCACUGGUGAUCACUUUCUAGUUGGAGCAGUGGGAAUCCUGCCCGGUCCAGGGCUGGUGAAGGCGGGGCAGGGGUGAGGCACUUUGGUGAAGAGGUUUAGCCAGGAAGGAUUGGACCCUGUACAGUAACCGAAGGGGAACAAGAGGAACAUGCCUCCAGGGGCAAGUUUUAUCUGCAAGGUGGAGACGAGCAAGCAGCUGUGCUUGGUGGGUAGGAUGGAGAGGUGGAGUCCUGAGAGCCAAAAGGAGUGUGCUGGGGCCCCCAAAGUUGCCUGGGGAGGGGGUUGGUGGACUGGGUGUACCUGCACCUCUGCCCCAAUGCUCCCUGGAGGGUGGGGCUGGGGGGCGGGGGGGCGGAGCCAACCCUGAAGAGCAACCUGGCUCAGCCCAUUGCUGGCGGGUGUGGGAGCCACUGGGGAAGGCAUGCGGGUUUACCACCGCCCCUUAUUCAGGUGACCUUCCUUACAGUUAGAGCAAAUGACACACAGCCAGGAGAGCUCACUUUG